UACAGAGGUCCCAAGCGUUGUUCGGAUUCAUUGGGCGUAAAGGGUGCGUAGGUGGCGCCGUAAGUCGGGUGUGAAAUUUCGGAGCUUAACUCCGAAACUGCAUUCGAUACUGCGGUGCUUGAGGACUGGAGAGGAGACUGGAAUUCAUGGUGUAGCAGUGAAAUGCGUAGAUAUCAAGAGGAACACCUGAGGUGAAGACGGGUUGCUGGGCUGAUACUGACGCUGAGGCGCGAAAGCUAGGGUAGCAAACGGG
rnacentral:rRNA from 1 species